CAUUCAGCUGUACCUGUUGGGACGACGUGAUCUUAAUGGAGUUGAUGACCUCCUCGUCUCCGGCAAAGCGCGAUGCGAUCUGCUCAGCCUGGGUAGCUGCGACCGCGUCCGUGGCAGAGCCGGAAAGAACGAUCCUUCCGUUCGCCGAGGUUACCUUUACGCUCGAGCCCGGCACCGACUGCCGGAUCGUCGAGGAAAGCAAUUUCGUAUCGAGCGUCACCUCUAUAUCGAUAAUGCCGACCGGAUUCUUUUCCGCAUCGAAAAUGGUGACGCUCGUCGAGCCC
rnacentral:sRNA from 1 species